rnacentral:rRNA from 1 species
AACGAACGCUGGCGGCAUGCCUAACACAUGCAAGUCGAACGAUCCCUUCGGGGAUAGUGGCGCACGGGUGCGUAACGCGUGGGAACCUGCCCUUAGGUUCGGAAUAACUCAGAGAAAUUUGAGCUAAUACCGGAUAAUGUCUUCGGACCAAAGAUUUAUCGCCUUUGGAUGGGCCCGCGUUGGAUUAGCUAGUUGGUGGGGUAAAGGCCUACCAAGGCGACGAUCCAUAGCUGGUCUGAGAGGAUGAUCAGCCACACUGGGACUGAGACACGGCCCAGACUCCUACGGGAGGCAGCAGUGGGGUAUAUUGGACAAUGGGCGAAAGCCUGAUCCAGCAAUGCCGCGUGAGUGAUGAAGGCCUUAGGGUUGUAAAGCUCUUUUACCCGGGAUGAUAAUGACAGUACCGGGAGAAUAAGCCCCGGCUAACUCCGUG